GUCCUUUAGAAUAGAAUUUAAGGUCUAACCUGCCCACUGAGGAAUUUAACGGCCGCAGUAUUUUGACUGUGCAAAGGUAGCAUAAUCAUUAGUUUUUUAAUUGAAAGCUUGUAUGAAUGGUUGGACGAGAUAUAAACUGUCUUUAGGUUAAAAAUAGAAUUUAAUUUUUAAGUUAAAAAGCUUAAAUAAUAUUAAAAGACGAGAAGACCCUAUAAAUCUUUAUAAAUUUAUUUAUUUAAUUUUUUAGGAUUUUUAAUUUUUAUAUAAAUAAGUUUAUUUUAUUGGGGUAAUAAAAAGAUUUAAUAAAUUCUUUUUAAAGUUUACAUUGAUUAGUGAAUUUAAUGAUCCUAUAUUAUAGAUUAUAAGAUUAAGUUACUUUAGGGAUAACAGCGUAAUUUUUUUAGAGAGUUCUUAUCGAUAAAAAAGUUUGCGACCUCGAUGUUGGAUUAAAAUUAAUUUUAGGUGUAGAAGUUUAAAUUUUUAGUCUGUUCGACUAUUGAAAUUUU
rnacentral:rRNA from 1 species